rnacentral:rRNA from 1 species
AGCAACAAAUGCCCUGCUUCCAGGAAAAGCCUCUAAGCAUCAGGUAACAUCAAAUCGUACCCCAAACCGACACAGGUGGUCAGGUAGAGAAUACCAAGGCGCUUGAGAGAACUCGGGUGAAGGAACUAGGCAAAAUGGUGCCGUAACUUCGGGAGAAGGCACGCUGACACGUAGGUGAAGUGAUUUACUCAUGGAGCUGAAGUCAGUCGAAGAUACCAGCUGGCUGCAACUGUUUAUUAAAAACACAGCACUGUGCAAACACGAAAGUGGACGUAUACGGUGUGACGCCUGCCCGGUGCCGGAAGGUUAAUUGAUGGGGUCAGCGCAAGCGAAGCUCCUGAUCGAAGCCCCGGUAAACGGCGGCCGUAACUAUAACGGUCCUAAGGUAGCGAAAUUCCUUGUCGGGUAAGUUCCGACCUGCACGAAUGGCGUAAUGAUGGCCAGGCUGUCUCCACCCGAGACUCAGUGAAAUUGAACUCGCUGUGAAGAUGCAGUGUACCCGCGGCAAGACGGAAAGACCCCGUGAACCUUUACUAUAGCUUGACACUGAACAUUGAGCCUUGAUGUGUAGGAUAGGUGGGAGGCUUUGAAGUGUGGACGCCAGUCUGCAUGGAGCCGACCUUGAAAUACCACCCUUUAAUGUUUGAUGUUCUAACGUGGACCCGUUACCCGGGUUGCGGACAGUGUCUGGUGGGUAGUUUGACUGGGGCGGUCUCCUCCUAAAGAGUAACGGAGGAGCACGAAGGUUGGCUAAUCCUGGUCGGACAUCAGGAGGUUAGUGCAAUGGCAUAAGCCAGCUUGACUGCGAGCGUGACGGCGCGAGCAGGUGCGAAAGCAGGUCAUAGUGAUCCGGUGGUUCUGAAUGGAAGGGCCAUCGCUCAACGGAUAAAAGGUACUCCGGGGAUAACAGGCUGAUACCGCCCAAGAGUUCAUAUCGACGGCGGUGUUUGGCACCUCGAUGUCGGCUCAUCACAUCCUGGGGCUGAAGUAGGUCCCAAGGGUAUGGCUGUUCGCCAUUUAAAGUGGUACGCGAGCUGGGUUUAGAACGUCGUGAGACAGUUCGGUCCCUAUCUGCCGUGGGCGCUGGAGAACUGAGGGGGGCUGCUCCUAGUACGAGAGGACCGGAGUGGACGCAUCACUGGUGUUCGGGUUGUCAUGCCAAUGGCACUGCCCGGUAGCUAAAUGCGGAAGAGAUAAGUGCUGAAAGCAUCUAAGCACGAAACUUGCCCCGAGAUGAGUUCUCCCUGAGACUUAAAGUCUCCUGAAGGAACGUUGAAGACGACGACGUUGAUAGGCCGGGUGUGUAAGCGCAGCGAUGCGUUGAGCUAACCGGUACUAAUGAACCGUGAGGCUUAACCUU